rnacentral:rRNA from 1 species
UACAGAGGUCCCAAGCGUUGUCCGGAAUCAUUGGGCGUAAAGAGCGUGUAGGCGGCCAGAUAAGUCCGCUGUGAAAACUCGAGGCUCAACUUCGAGCUGUCGGCGGAAACUAUCUGGCUAGAGUCCGGAAGAGGAGAGUGGAAUUCCUGGUGUAGCGGUGAAAUGCGCAGAUAUCGGGAAGAACACCCGUGGCGAAGGCGGCUCUCUGGAACGGUACUGACGCUGAGACGCGAAAGCGUGGGGAGCGAACAGG